rnacentral:rRNA from 1 species
GAUGAACGCUGGCGGCGUGCCUAAUACAUGCAAGUCGAGCGAAUGGAUUAAGAGCUUGCUCUAUGAAGUUAGCGGCGGACGGGUGAGUAACACGUGGGUAACCUGCCCAUAAGACUGGGAUAACUCCGGGAAACCGGGGCUAAUACCGGAUAACAUUUUGAACCGCAUGGUUCGAAAUUAAAAGGCGGCUUCGGCUGUCACUUAUGGAUGGACCCGCGUCGCAUUAGCUAGUUGGUGAGGUAACGGCUCACCAAGGCAACGAUGCGUAGCCGACCUGAGAGGGUGAUCGGCCACACUGGGACUGAGACACGGCCCAGACUCCUACGGGAGGCAGCAGUAGGGAAUCUUCCGCAAUGGACGAAAGUCUGACGGAGCAACGCCGCGUGAGUGAUGAAGGCUUUCGGGUCGUAAAACUCUGUUGUUAGGGAAGAACAAGUGCUAGUUGAAUAAGCUGGCACCUUGACGGUACCUAACCAGAAAGCCACGGCUAACUACGUGCCAGCCGCCGCCGUAA